ACUCGCAUAGCUUAGUUGGUUAAAGCGUACGGCUGAUAACCGUAAGAGGUCUGGUUCGAUUCCAGAUGCGAGUACCA
rnacentral:tRNA from 1 species